UGGGAUUGAUUAUAGAUCUUGUUGAGGAUC
rnacentral:piRNA from 1 species